rnacentral:rRNA from 1 species
UGGGGAAUCUUAGACAAUGGGCGCAAGCCUGAUCUAGCCAUGCCGCGUGAGCGAUGAAGGCCUUAGGGUUGUAAAGCUCUUUCAGUGGGGAAGAUAAUGACUGUACCCACAGAAGAAGCCCCGGCUAACUCCGUGCCAGCAGCCGCGGUAAUACGGAGGGGGCUAGCGUUGUUCGGAAUUACUGGGCGUAAAGCGCACGUAGGCGGAUGGACAAGUCAGAGGUGAAAUCCCAGGGCUCAACCUUGGAACUGCCUUUGAAACUUUCCAUCUUGAGGUCGAGAGAGGUGAGUGGAAUUCCGAGUGUAGAGGUGAAAUUCGUAGAUAUUCGGAGGAACACCAGUGGCGAAGGCGGCUCACUGGCUCGAUACUGACGCUGAGGUGCGAAAGCGUGGGGAGCAAACA